UAGUAGUGGCGAGCGAACGCGGAACAGCCCAAACCAUUUUAGUUACGGCUAGAGUGGGGUUGUAGGACCACGAUAUCUUAACAAAAACGAACGAGAAUUACCUGGGAAGGUAAGCUAUAGAAGGUGAAAGCCCUGUAUUGGUAAGUUUUUGAGCGGUAGUGGUAUCCUGAGUAGGGCGGGGCAGGUGAAACCCCGUUUGAAUCUACCGGCACCAUCCGGUAAGGCUAAAUACUCCUGAGAGACCGAUAGUGAACCAGUACCGUGAGGGAAAGGUGAA
rnacentral:rRNA from 1 species